AGUAUAAUUCAUACUGUAUCUUAUAGGAAGAAAAACAAGCGAUGAAAUUGAGACAAUGGAACAAUUUCACAUCAAGGGCAGAAAAAUGGACAAGCAUUUACUAAGAGAGGAGCUGAGAUUUCACGGAAGUCCCAGUUGCCAGAUAACGGAGCAUCACCUUAUCUGGCAGUGUUUCGCACCUGCAUUCCUUUUAACAGACUUGCAGAAAGAUCAAGCUGCUGCAGAGACUUUGCAUGUCAUUCUGCCAGUGGGCUUUAAUGACUUAUCAGAAUUGAUAUGUAAGUUACAAAUCAGGAUAUUAUUUUUAUUGAUUGGAUAUUUACAAAGGCAAACAAUACAUUUUAUUUUGAAACUUCCUAAUAUCAAAAUAAUUUUUGAGAAUUUGUCUUUUUCUGCUACAAAAAAAUAAAAU
rnacentral:lncRNA from 1 species